rnacentral:tRNA from 1 species
GCCUGGGUGGCUCAGUCGGUUGAGCGUCCGACUUUGGCUCGGGUCGUGAUCUCACAGUUCGUGGGUUCGAGCCACGCAUCAGGCA